rnacentral:rRNA from 1 species
CAGCAUAAUGGAUAGCAAUAUCUAUGGUGGCGACCGGCGCACGGGUGCGUAACGCGUAUGCAACCUACCUUUAACAGGGGGAUAACACUGAGAAAUUGGUACUAAUACCCCAUAAUAUCAUAGAAGGCAUCUUUUAUGGUUGAAAAUUCCGAUGGUUAGAGAUGGGCAUGCGUUGUAUUAGCUAGUUGGUGGGGUAACGGCUCACCAAGGCGACGAUACAUAGGGGGACUGAGAGGAAGGUCCCCACAUUGGAACUGAGACACGGUCCAAACUCC